rnacentral:rRNA from 1 species
CUUCCUACGGGGCGCAGCAGUGGGGAAUAUUGGGCAAUGGGCGCAAGCCUGACCCAGCGACGCCGCGUGAGGGAAGACGGUCUUCGGAUUGUAAACCUCUUUCAGCAGGGAAGACAAAAGGACGGUACCUGCAGAAGAAGCCACGGCUAACUACGUGCCAGCAGCCGCGGUAAUACGGAGGAUGCGAGCGUUAUCCGGAUUUAUUGGGUUUAAAGGGUGCGCAGGCGGCCUGUUAAGUCAGCGGUAAAAGCCCGGGGCUCAACCCCGGCGAGCCGUGGAAACUGGCGGGAUGGAGUUGGAGAGAA